rnacentral:rRNA from 1 species
CGCCCAGACUCCUACGGGAGGCAGCAGUGGGGAAUAUUGGACAAUGGGGGAAACCCUGAUCCAGCGACGCCGCGUGAGUGAAGAAGUAUUUCGGUACGUAAAGCUCUAUCAGCAGGAAAGAAAAUGACGGUACCUGACUAAGAAGCCCCGGCUAACUACGUGCCAGCAGCCGCGGUAAUACGUAGGGGGCAAGCGUUAUCCGGAUUUACUGGGUGUAAAGGGAGCGUAGACGGCAGCGCAAGUCUGGAGUGAAAGGCCGGGGCCCAACCCCGGAACUGCUCUGGAAACUGUGAAGCUGGAGUGCAGGAGAGGUAAGCGGAAUUCCUGGUGUAGCGGUGAAAUGCGUAGAUAUCAGGAGGAACACCGGCGGCGAAGGCGGCUUACUGGACUGUAACUGACGUUGAGGCUCGAAGGCGUGGGGAGCAAACAGGAUUAGAUACCCUAGUACAA